rnacentral:pre_miRNA from 1 species
AUUUGAAACGUUUUCGCCAAAAAUGUUUCCAUCGUCAAGGUGUUUUUUGCAGAAACGUUUCAGAUUU